UACGUAGGGUACAAGCGUUGUCCGGAAUUAUUGGGCGUAAAGAGCUCGUAGGUGGUCUGUCACGUCUGCUGUGGAAACGCAAGGCUCAACCUUGCGCGUGCAGUGGGUACGGGCGGACUAGAGUGCAGUAGGGGAGUCUGGAAUUCCUGGUGUAGCGGUGAAAUGCGCAGAUAUCAGGAGGAACACCGGUGGCGAAGGCGGGACUCGUGGGCUGUAACUGACGCUGGAGGAGCGAAAGCAUGGGGAGCGAAC
rnacentral:rRNA from 1 species